GCGCGGGGCGCCGGUACGCAGAUUACACCAUAUAUAUACUUUUUCUGUUCAGAAUUAGGGUUGGACAGUUUUUGACGGCGACAGAGGCACUUUUGAGAUCAAGAUCAGAGCACGAAUUUCUUCAUUGUUCUUCAUUGUAAUGAAUUCUUUCACUCUAAUUAUUGUUAUUUCUAUGAUUAUGAGUAACUAAACUCUAUGAUUGGAUCCUAGGGGAUUCUAGUUAUUAUUGUCUUGAACCAUGAAUUUCAUAUGAUGUUUUAAUAUAAUUACGAAGCUAGUUUCAUUCUUUUAUCUCUUGUUCUUAAUGCUUUAUACAACGUCGCGAAUUGUUUGAUGAUUAUAAUUGUUUGUUUACUAAGACAUUAGAAACGAAUUGAUUGACCUAGAGAUAAUUGUGCAAUUAACUUAUUCUUUAGACAUAUAGGUUUGUUAAUUGUGAAUUCAAGGAUUAAAGGGAAACAAACCUCAAUUGAUUAUAGGUCAUCCUAAGACAUUAGGGAUUGAUAAUCAAUUGAGAGGACUAUGUANN
rnacentral:lncRNA from 1 species